rnacentral:rRNA from 1 species
GGCAUGGAUUAGGCAUGCAAGUCGAGCGAGAAGUUUUGGAUUGAAGCUUCGGCUGAUUUUCAGGACGGAAAGCGGCGAAAGGGAGAGUAAUACGUGGAUACGUACCCUCAGGCCCGGGAUAGCUGCGGGAAACUGCAGGUAAUACCGGAUAAUGUCCCUGGACCAAAGGUGAGAUUCCUCCUGAGGAGCGGUCCGCGUCCUAUUAGCUUGUUGGUGGGGUAAUGGCCUACCAAGGCGAUGAUGGGUAGCGGGUGUGAGAGCAUGACCCGUCUCACUGGGACUGAUACACUGCCCAGACACCUACGGGUGGCUGCAGUCGAGAAUCUUCCGCAAUGGGCGAAAGCCUGACGGAGCGACGCCGCGUGCGGGAUGAAGGCCUUCGGGUUGUAAACCGCUGUCAGAGAGGAGUAAGUGAAGGGGGUUCUCCCCUGGAACUGAACUAUCUUCAGAGGAAGGACGGGCUAAGUUCGUGCCAGCAGCCGCGGUAAGACGAACCGUCCAAACGUUAUUCGGAAUUACUGGGCUUAAAGGGUGCGUAGGCGGCUCUGCAAGUUGGGUGUGAAAUCCCCCGGCUCAACCGUGGAACUGCGCUCAAAACUGCAGGGCUUGAGGGAGACAGAGGUGAGCGGAACUUAUGGUGGAGCGGUGAAAUGCGUUGAUAUCAUAAGGAACACCGGUGGCGAAGGCGGCUCACUGGGUCUCUUCUGACGCUGA